AGCAAAGUGUUGACACAAAAAUCAAUCACAUUCUCCUUAGUUCAAGAUCAGUAUGCAAGAGCUCAAAGACAUAGCUAAAAGCCACAUAACCAACAAGUUUUACCAUAUUUUUUCGAUGAAAUAAAGCAGCUGUUGAAUAAAUACAUCCAGGACAACUGGGUCAUCAGCUGCUUUUAAACCUCUGGAAACAGGACUGUGUGACAAGACUUACUUGUCGGUGCAAGAAGAGCAACAGCUGAGGAAUUCUCCUCUCGGUGACAGAUGACACGCUCUGUGCCCAGAUCUUCCAAAUUCACAGCUUCCCCCUUCACCUUUUGUCCUCGGAUGGAAGAGAAAAUCUUCUGAGUAGUUCCUGUGAGGAAAGCAAUCAAAACAAAGACCCCCAUCGCUCAAGGGUUACAUUGGAAGGCAGUUGAGUCUGUAUCUGCAAAGCAACUGAGGAAUGCCAUGGAUUCAGCAGACUGUAACAAAAGUAUGUGAUUCUGGCAAGAGUGGAAGAUGAAGGGGACAGGAAAUCCCAGACGGGGGCACAGAAGGGCGCGCAGUCUGGAUGCUUCCGCAAGAAGAGGGGCUGAGGUGGAGGAGGACGCUCACCUGCUGGUGCGACUUCUGCUCAGGAGCGCCUCUGGUGACCUUCGGAGAAGGCCCCGAAAGACAAUGACCGUAUGGCAGCCCACUGUCAUCCUACAGUACUUAGUGUAGCUCCAAAAAAAUCCUGCGGAAGGGUCUUUUGGGAGUUGAUACUUUUCUGGGAAAUAAAGUGCAAAAUGUCUUCCAGGGCAAAAAUGUUAAGAAGAAAUUCUAAAUAUGUGUAUAUCUUAAAAGCCAGUAAUUCCACUCCUAGGUAUAUGCCCUACAAAAACAUCUACACAUGUGCAUAAAGAUGUAUGUAAACAUUCUUAGCAACAUUAUUCAUAAUAGGACAAAACUGGAAACAACUCAAAUGUCCAUCCACACUAGAAAGGACGAGUAAAGUACGAUGCAUUCAUCUGAUGAUAUAUUACACAGAGAUAAGAAUGAACAGACCACAGGUACAUAGUUCUAUGCAGAUCAAUCUCACAUCGUCGUGUUGAGUUAAAGAACUCAGGUGAAAAAAUAUCUACUGUAUGAUGUUACUCAAAUAAAGUUCAAAACCAAGUGACACUAACUGGUGGCAUUUGAAGGCAGAUGGUGGUUAGCUCUGCGAGAAGGGUGGGCUAGUGAUGGAGAGCGAAGGG